rnacentral:sRNA from 1 species
ACAAAAUUCUAAUAAAAUCAAGACGGACGGUAGAAUUAGAACCCUAAGAGCAUCCACAUUGGUGACUUUCUUAAA